rnacentral:rRNA from 1 species
GACGAACGCUGGCGGCGUGCUUAACACAUGCAAGUCGAACGAAGAGCGAUGGAAGCUUGCUUCUAUCAAUCUUAGUGGCGAACGGGUGAGUAACGCGUAAUCAACCUGCCCUUCAGAGGGGGACAACAGUUGGAAACGACUGCUAAUACCGCAUACGAUCUAAUCUCGGCAUCGAGGAUAGAUGAAAGGUGGCCUCUACAUGUAAGCUAUCACUGAAGGAGGGGAUUGCGUCUGAUUAGCUAGUUGGAGGGGUAACGGCCCACCAAGGCGAUGAUCAGUAGCCGGUCUGUGAGGAUGAACGGCCACAGUGGGACUGAGACACGGCCCAGACUCCUACGGGAGGCAGCAGUGGGGAAUCUUCCGCAAUGGACGAAAGUCUGACGGAGCAACGCCGCGUGAGCGAUGACGGCCUUCGGGUUGUAAAGCUCUGUUAAUCGGGACGAAAGGCCUUCUUGCGAAUAGUGAGAAGGAUUGACGGUACCGGAAUAGAAAGCCACGGCUAACUACGUG